CCUGCAGAGCGCUCAGAAAGAUUGUGCCUGGCUAGCAAGCCUGCUCAAGCCCUAGGUAGAGAAGAAAAUCAUGGAACCGUUCACUUUUGGGGCAACUUCUUUCCUCUGGUCAGGAAAAAGAGGUGGUAAUUUGAAGAGGAAUGAAACAAUUGCAGCAGAAGGAACAUUGGAAAAUGUCAUCCAAUCUGCUUCUGAAACACAGUUUAUGCAACGAAGCACCAUUUGUGUGGAUUCCACCAAUUUACUACAAUUUCAAGCACUAGCUGGACUCCAGUUCUGAUGUCAUUUGAAAACUUUAUUAGGAUUAUUAAGCCAGGGCUAGCCAGUUUUUUGAUUGUUUUCUCUUCUUCUCCUUUCCCAGAAGCACCUGAAUGUUUCAGGAAUUUAAAACAUUAAAGUUUUAAAGCGUCUAUUGCCAAAGCAACUGCAGCAUCUAGGUCCAUUCUUCGGAGGCAGCUGAGGCACAUGGGCUCCCUUGGCAUCCCAGCUGCACACAGGAGCUGCCCUGAAAGCCUCAGUGACUGAGACAUGCAGUUGCAGAAUAAAGUUUUAGGAAUAAAGAUGCAGAGAAGUAGACAAAGCAGCUUUCCAAAAAGAGAUCCCUAGGAUUAUGUUCACACAACCUUCUAGUGAGUGUCACAGUUAAAGUGCAUUUAGCACUGCGUAAUGAAUAAUCAGUCUCUGAGACUGUUAGGCUCAGCUGAUGUAUGCAGUCAGUUGGGAUCAUGAGUCACAACAGAAGGGCGCAGCCUGAAUUAACACGAUCCCUAACUUCGUACAGACCCUGACGGGGCUCACCUUGGGAUUCUUUGGAGAGUUUUGCAAAUGGUAUCCAAGGUCUAUCCCAUUGUCUUCUGUACAAACAACAAAAGUGUUUUCAGAGAGAUGAUUCACUUUCUCUCCCUGUGCUUUUAGGAACAAUUCCAUUUGCAGCUGGUAGGAAAGGUAAGUGCUAGGAACUCACAUGCAGCAGCCUGAACACUCCAGAACACAUGAGAAAAUACUGCUUCAAAGAGACAGCAAAUGAAACCAAAACCAAGAAAAUAAACACUGUAGCCAAUAUUUUCCAAAAUAUACCGCCUUCAGCUGGUUCUUGUUUUAAGUAUAUGGUAAAACUGAGUUAUCGCAGGUGCUGCUUUCUGGAAACGCCCACCAUUACAGCUGAUAAGAUAUAUUCAAAGAAAAAAAAUAUCUUGAAAUGGCCUCAAAGGGCUCUCUGAAAAAUUUAGAUCAUUGUAAGCCUGCAGAUUUUGGAAAACUGUCUAGUUUUUGCUACACCAAUAUUCAACCCUUCCAUUCUGUACGUGUGCAAAUACAUCUCAUGCUUUUCCUCACUGAAUUCAACUCAGACUAGCACAGCCAUGAAUUAGUUUCACUAAGUUUUAUCCCCUUCUCUGAAGCAGCAUGUUAGUGAUGACAACCCUGUGCUACUAAAUGAAUCUCACAUUUACACUGAGUGCCAGGGUGCUUUUAAAAUCCUGACUCUCUUUUUUCUACUUUGUCAUAAAUCUGCCUGGCAAAAAUUAAAAAAAUAAAAACUAAAUAAUAAUAAAAAAAAGCAGCAGAAGGGGGCAUGUUCACUUUCAGAAGUCAAUGAAAGAGAGGGGGGUGUGGACGAGAAACUCUUUAAUGUUGCUCAAGAACAUACUUCUCAGUCAAACCCCAGCAGCAUACUGCCCAAUUCCUGUCUUCAGCAGCAGAGCUGAAGCUGACGGUGCUCAGGGGCGAUUGGCAGUCUGCUCUGGGUUCCUUCACAGCACUGCUAAUCUCCACUAAUACUCUCCCAUGCUUCAUUUAAUUUCACUCUCAGGGCUCUUUUUCAAAUUCUUCCUCCAAUCUUAAACCAAUGCCCUCAUUGUUUAGGAUUCCUUUACCCUGACAAGGCUGACCUCAGAUAUCCUCUCCUCUUUCCUGCUCUGUAACUCAGGCAGUCCAC